GAAAUGCGAUAAUUAAUGUGAAUUGCAGAAUUCAGUGAAUCAUCGAGUCUUUGAACGCACAUUGCGCCCCCUGGUAUUCCGGGGGGCAUGCCUGUCCGAGCGUCAUUGCUGCCCUCAAGCACGGCUUGUGUUUUGGGCUUCCGUCCCUGGCAACGGGGACGGGCCCAAAAGGCAGUGGCGGCACCAUGUCUGGUCCUCGAGCGUAUGGGGCUUUGUCACCCGCUCCCGUAGGUCCAGCUGGCAGCUAGCCUCGCAACCAAUCUUUUUAACCAGGUUGACCUCGGAUCAGGUAGGGAUACCCGCUGAACUUAAGC
rnacentral:misc_RNA from 1 species